rnacentral:rRNA from 1 species
UACGUAGGGUGCGAGCGUUAAUCGGAAUUACUGGGCGUAAAGCGUGCGCAGGCGGUUCGUUGUGUCGGCGGUGAAAGCCCCGGGCUUAACCUGGGAAUGGCCGUUGAAACUGGCGAACUGGAGUGUGGCAGAGGGGGGUGGAAUUCCGCGUGGUAGCAGUGAAAUGCGUAGAGAUGCGGAGGAACACCGAUGGCGAAGGCAGCCCCCUGGGCUAACACUGACGCCUCAGGCACGAAAGCGUGGGGAGCAAACAG